GGUCGACCGGAUUGGUCCUGAUUAGAGGUCGACCGGAUUGGUCCUGAUUAGAGGUCGACCGGAUUGGUCCUGAUUAGAGGUCGACCGGAUUGGUCCUGAUUAGAGGUCGACCGGAUUGGUCCUGAUUAGAGGUCGACCGGAUUGGUCCUGAUUAGAGGUCGACCGGAUUGGUCCUGAUUAGAGGUCGACCGGAUUGGUCCUGAUUAGAGGUCGACCGGAUUGGUCCUGAUUAGAGGUCGACCGGAUUGGUCCUGAUUAGAGGUCGACCGGAUUGGUCCUGAUUAGAGGUCGACCGGAUUGGUCCUGAUUAGAGGUCGACCGGAUUGGUCCUGAUUAGAGGUCGACCGGAUUGGUCCUGAUUAGAGGUCGACCGGAUUGGUCCUGAUUAGAGGUCGACCGGAUUGGUCCUGAUUAGAGGUCGACCGGAUUGGUCCUGAUUAGAGGUCGACCGGAUUGGUCCUGAUUAGAGGUCGACCGGAUUGGUCCUGAUUAGAGGUCGACCGGAUUGGUCCUGA